UACGAAGGGGGCGAGCGUUGUUCGGAAUUACUGGGCGUAAAGGGCUCGUAGGCGGCCAACUAAGUCCGACGUGAAACCCCAAGGCUUAACCUUGGAACUGCGUCGGAUACUGGAUGGCUUGAAUUCGGGAGAGGGAUGCAGAAUUCCAGGUGUAGCGGUGAAAUGCGUAGAUAUCUGGAGGAAUACCGGUGGCGAAGGCGGCAUCCUGGACCGACAUUGACGCUGAGGAGCGAAAGCUAGGGGAGCAAACGGG
rnacentral:rRNA from 1 species